ACGGAAGGCAGCAGUGAGGAAUAUUGGUCAAUGGGCGGAAGCCUGAACCAGCCAAGUAGCGUGAAGGAUGACGGCCCUACGGGUUGUAAACUUCUUUUGUCGGGGAAUAAAUGACGGUACGUGUACCGUUUUGCAUGUACUCGGUGAAUAAGGACCGGCUAAUUCCGUGCCAGCAGCCGCGGUAAUACGGAAGGUCCGAGCGUUAUCCGGAUUUAUUGGGUUUAAAGGGAGCGUAGGCGGAUUGGUAAGUCAGUCGUCAAAUCGUGGAGCUCAACUCCAUCCAGCGAUUGAUACUGCCGGUCUUGAGUGCACAAGAGGUAAGUGGAAUUCGUGGUGUAGCGGUGAAAUGCUUAGAUAUCACGAAGAACUCCGAUUGCGAAGGCAGCUUACUGGGGUGUAACUGACGCUGAGGCUCGAAGGUGCGGGUAUCAAACAGGAUUAGAUACCCUGGUA
rnacentral:rRNA from 1 species